GUUAUCGUUUAUUUGAUAGUACCUUACUACUUGGAUAACCGUGGUAAUUCUAGAGCUAAUACAUGCUAAAAACCUCGACUUCGGAAGGGGUGUAUUUAUUAGAUAAAAAACCAAUGCCCUUCGGGGCUCCCUGGUGAUUCAUAAUAACUUAACGAAUCGCAUGGCCUUGUGCCGGCGAUGGUUCAUUCAAAUUUCUGCCCUAUCAACUUUCGAUGGUAGGAUAGUGGCCUACCAUGGUUUCAACGGGUAACGGGGAAUUAGGGUUCUAUUCCGGAGAAGGAGCCUGAGAAACGGCUACUACAUCCAAGGAAGGCAGCAGGCGCGCAAAUUACCCAAUCCCGACACGGGGAGGUAGUGACAAUAAAUACUGAUACAGGGCUCUUUUGAGUCUUGUAAUUGGAAUGAGUACAAUUUAAAUACCUUAACGAGGAACAAUUGGAGGGCAAGUCUGGUGCCAGCAGCCGCGGUAAUUCCAGCUCCAAUAGCGUAUAUUAAAGUUGUUGCAGUUAAAAAGCUCGUAGUUGAACCUUGG
rnacentral:rRNA from 1 species